UAAUACGGAGGGUGCGAGCGUUGUCCGGAAUCACUGGGCGUAAAGGGCGCGUAGGUGGCUUGGUAAGCGUGCGGUGAAAGCCCGGGGCUCAACCCCGGGUCGGCCGUGCGGACUACCAUGGCUUGAGCACUGUAGAGGCAGGUAGAAUUCCGGGUGUAGCGGUGGAAUGCGUAGAGAUCCGGAAGAAUACCGGUGGCGAAGGCGGCCUGCUGGGCAGUAGCUGACACUGAGGCGCGACAGCGUGGGGAGCAAACAGGAUUAGAUACCCUGGUAGUCCACGCCGUAAACGAUGGGCACUAGGUGCUUGGGGGAGCGACCCCCUGAGUGCCGUCGCUAACGCAGUAAGUGCCCCGCCUGGGGAGUACGGCCGCAAGGCUG
rnacentral:rRNA from 1 species